CAAUAGCGUAUAUUAACGUUGUUGCAGUUAAAAAGCUCGUAGUUGGAUUUCUGGAGGGAGCGUCGGCCCGUAUUUACGAGUGCGUGACGUCUCUGUCCAUCCUUGCGGGAAGGCACGGCAUUGAUUUGUUGUGUCGGAUCGCAUCAUUUACUGUGAAAAAAUUAGAGUGUUCAAAGCAGGCUUUCGCUUGAAUACAUUAGCAUGGAAUAAUAAGAUAGGACUUUGGUGCUAUUUUGUUGGUUGAGCCUAAAGUAAUGAUUAAUAGGGAUAGUUUGGGGCACCUGUAUUGCGUUGUCAGAGGUGAAAUUCUUGGAUUUACGCAAGACAAACAGCUGCGAAAGCGUCUGCCAAGGAUGUUUUCAUUAA
rnacentral:rRNA from 1 species